rnacentral:sRNA from 1 species
UUUUCAGUCGUCCGGAGAAGGUCGCGUCGCGCUGGUGCUCCAUCAGCGUCGAAAUCGCACCUUUCUCGAGGCUGCGG